UUAUAGCGGGCGAACGCCAUGCCGGAGGACAACCGUUCUUUCACCAAAUUCGGGCGAACGCCAUGCCGGAGGACAACCGUUCUUUCACCAAAUUCGGGCGAACGCCAUGCCGGAGGACAACCGUUCUUUCACCAAAUUCGGGCGAACGCCAUGCCGGAGGACAACCGUUCUUUCACCAAAUUGUAGCGGGCGAACGCCAUGCCGGAGGACAACCGUU